CAAAAACAUAUAUGAAUUAAAAACUAAAAAUAUAAUUCAAAGGCAUAGGCACUUAUUUCCUCUUUUAGGAACUCUCUAACAGGAAUGUUCUAAAGAAUACAACCUCGUAUGUCUGUGCGUGACUGACUAAUUGUAUAGAUAUAUAUGUGUGCAUAAAGAACUGUGAAGUCGGUGAACAUUUUCAAAAGAGUUGGGUGGCCUCGGAGGUCGGUCCUCGAGGCCAAACCAAAGAUGCGAGUGAAACAAUCGCCGCUCACUCGACCCCAUCGUCGCGGAAUCCGACGUGAAGUGGUUUUCGUUUACACGAGCUGUGAUCCGACGAAUUCCUCGUGUUCGCGGUGCACACAACAUGCAGGACGAACUAGAAAAAUAGCAGGCAUUCGCCACUCGCCCAGAUUCAAUCAACAAUUGCUAGCCUCGGCUCUACAUCGCGCUUUGCAGACGUGGGUACUGUGGGAUUCUCUUUUUUCUUUGUGCAUUUGUUUCACAUUUAUACUCGUCCCUAGGAGUGGUUAUGUCUCUUUGGAGCGUCUGAUACGAUGAUGUGAGUCUGCUCUGCCAUGACUGCUGGUUACCGAGCUCGAUGGGUACCCGGACCAGAACGUUCUCGUGCUUGUCAGCAUCAUGGAUGCAGCUGCAUUGUUACUGAAGGAGUCCUGGAGCAUCCACAUUUCUUGCUCUCCACACGUUGUACAUGUAUCCGGUGAGACCUCUAUUUAUUGUUGGAGUAGUGGUAGCAGGAACACUAGUGACCCGUAUUAAUGCGUAAUAGAGAUUGGUAGAAGCUGAGCAAGGAUGUGCGGCACGAGAAGAGCAACGUUAUGUGGAGUAUCAGGGGUCCAGGAUCAUGAGAGUUAAUGAAGGGAUGGAUUGGAUGGAUUGUCAAGGAAGUGUGUGAGAGGGGGGUAUUUUUUAGAGUAAUUUUUUUUUUCUGAAGAAGAGGAAGAAGCAACGAGGGGCAGACCUUUCAUCAGUGCAUUUAGCUGCAAGGGGUGAAUUCAAGUUUAUGGUUAGUAAGGUAGUUUCACACCGAAAUGGAUGGUAAAGACCUGCGAGUGUUGCGAGAAGAGGAUUUUAUGGGUUGCACUAGCUUAGCUGGAAUAUUUGGUGAAACUCGUGGAGCAUCCUGGCAUCGGAUUGAUGGAGGCAUCACGAUUGUAAUUGGCUUACUAUUAUAAACAGAUCCGUGUCCUGCGAGAGAAAUUUGUGACUCAUGCGUAGCAGAAUACGCGAACUUUUUGAAGUGAGCAGGCUACAGAUAUUGGCAUCAUGGAUUCCAGGCUGGCUGUUCUUGUUCUGCUCUGUUCACAAUACUGGCAAACCACUUCAAUUGCUGCCAUGAUGUGGGACGAUUAGAGGAGCUAACCUAAUGCCAUAUCCAAACAGCACACACAAAGGUACGCUUGCAAGGAAUUCUAAGAUGGAAAUGGGGGUUGGAUAAGGGGCCAAGACUGAUCCUUGCCAGCUGGGAUGAGCCAAUUUUGGUACCAAUGAAGAAAAUUAUUCUCCGCUUAUGCUCUAAAUAUUCAUGGAAACAUGUUCAUCAUGUUGCACAUUUUAUCCUUAAUGAAAUGUGAAGUCUGAAGCAGUUGCGAUUAGGCAUGUAGCCGUGCGUGCAGUGUGAUACUGUUCCUCCGUCUUCUUUCUUAUAGAGAAACAAAAGAUCUACAAAUGUCUCAUCCCGUAGUUUGUUCACUAUUAUGUGGUACGUAUAUGAUCCUCAGGCAAGCCCUAGUCCCUUGCCUUUCCCAUCAGAGUCGUCACCAUUCUGUGCCUGACUAUUUUUUGACCUUGCACAGUAUAAUGUGUUUGGAGUCUGAUUUUCUCAGCCUUAGCAUGUGCAGUUAAUUGGAAAAGGAUUUGCGAAGAUCAAGGUCUGACUCCAUUUCUUGCAGACUACACACUAAAUUUCCCCCUUUUGUGAUUUGUUAGGUUGGUGAGAUGGGCAAGGUUUCGAAGUGGUUGUUAUUAGAACUGGUUGAAUUGACCUGGAUCGCCUGAUUCCUUGCACUGCCCUACAUGCAAACAAAUUGAUCAUUUUGAGGCCAUUGUGGUCGUGAUGAUUAUCUAGCUUCUGGCAAGAUCUUUCAACGAGGUUUCGUUUUUAAUCAUUCGUGCUGCUCAGAGUUACCAAAGAAAUCGAGAGUUCGCUUGCACCAAUGAGCAAAGACAGUUCUCAUUAUAAAUUGUGGUUUGCUGCUCCCAGUGCGAGCAUGGUUAUAGUUGGCAGAUCCUGAGGCUUCUAUAUCGGCUGAGAGACGCAGACUUCGCUUUCUAGCCAAUGUGGAACACAUUGACGUUGGGAUUGCCAUCAAUGGCAUUAACUGCUACACAAUUCUCGACGAGAGCUUCUUUGAGCUACCCCUUGCCACAAGUUUGCUUUGAUUCGUUGAAGUGGAAUGCAUGCAUGCGCUUGGUUAUCUUAAAAGCAAUUACUAUCUCGCAGAAUCUGUCUGAAAUCAUCCAAUUUGUACCUUUUCAGCUUCUAUGUCAUUCCACUAGAAUUAUAUCACACAAAGCUAGACAGGUGAAAAAAUGAAUGUGGGUAUUUUCAGUGAUGAUAAAUGAAGGUCUUCUGAGAAUGUUUGUCACAGUUUCACUUGACUGCACAUAGAGAUCUUGCUAGGAGAACUGUAGGAUGAGACAGUAUUUGUUGUCUUUUAAGACUCUCACAGGCUGUGAAACCAUGAUGAACUUCUAGGCCAUAGGUCUUUGGCUUGUAAUGUUUCUAGGGCAAGUUGUCUUCCUCAAAUACUGCAUCUACAUGGCUUUAGAAAUUGGGUUGGUGGAGGCUGUGGUGAUAUGUGCUGAUCUGCCAUAAGCUUGCAAUGAGCCCUUCCCAAGUGUUGAAAACUUUUGACAUUUAGUCUAAACUCCAUGUGUGUAAACAGAGUCUUAGAGUAUGUGAAUUUUAUACCAGAAGACAUAGACUAGCACCUUUGUAAAAUAAGUUUGAAACUCAAGUGGGUGAAUAAACAAUGUUGUUUGGAUUAUCA